AAGAGACGACAAGAAAACAGAGAAAGAAACAGAAGAAGAUUGGCAGAAACACAAAGGAUGUUGUUCAUCAGUCUAAAAAAAGCAAAGACAAUGGCAAGAGCUUGGUCUGCAAGUGAAACAGAAGCCCUGCUUGCUGUUUGGAGCAAGAAGACCGUGUAGGAUUACUGGCUGGUGCAGCAAGAAACGAGAACGUUUUCCAAGACAUUUCAAGGGAGCUGAAGGAAAUGGGCAUCCGGCGUACAUCUGUGCAGUGCCGAGAGAAAAUUAAAAAACUCCAACAGUACAAAAAAGUUGUUAACCACAAUAACACCAGCGGGGCAGACAGAAAAACAUUCCACUGGUUCGACACAAUGGACACGGUACUGGGAGAGAGGCCUGCAACAAGCAGAGGCACCGACACAGACUGUUGCUGAGUCAAAAGAGGAGCCAGCCUGCAGCAGCAAGAGAGGCACAAUAAUUAUGUCAGCUGAGUGGGAGGUCACCUGUAUGGGCUGUCCUGUAGAGUGCUGGGGCGAAGGAUAUCCUGUUUCCUGUUACUAUUGACAUCAGUGUGACUGAUAAGUGAGGGAAGUCCAACAUUUGACUUGUGGAUCUAACAAUUCAAACAACAACAAUCCAAAAGGUGUAAGCCACUUUGGUGAAGGAGGAGGCCAUAGGGCAGAAUGAGACCUACACACUGUUGAGAAGAAAUUCAAACCUGAUCAACUAUGCAUAGGUAAGAUGUUAUAAAAU